rnacentral:rRNA from 1 species
UGGGGAAUAUUGCACAAUGGACGGAAGUUUGAUGCAGCGACGCCGCGUGGAGGGUGUAGGCCUUCGGGUUGUGAACUCCUUUUUCUCGCGAAAAAGGCACAGUUUUGGCUGUGUUGAUGGUAGUGGGGGAAGAAGCGCCGGCUAACUACGUGCCAGCAGCCGCGGUAAUACGUAGGGCGCGAGCGUUGUCCGGAUUUAUUGGGCGUAAAGAGCUCGUAGGUGGUUCGUCGCGUCUGUCGUGAAAGCCAGCAGCUUAACUGUUGGUCUGCGGUGGGUACGGGCGGGCUUGAGUGCGGUAGGGGUGACUGGAAUUCCUGGUGUAGCGGUGGAAUGCGCAGAUAUCAGGAGGAACACCGAUGGCGAAGGCAGGUCACUGGGCCGUUACUGACACAGAGGAGCGAAAGCGUGGGGAGCGAACAGG